CACACAGAAAGCGGACUUUGAAAACAGCAAAACACAAAGAGCGGAAAGGAAGUCAAAUACGGACCGAAAUAGUCAGCACCAAAUGGGAAACUCAUUUCAGCAGUCCACAUCCGCAUGGAUGGGGUAGCCGCUGGCGCCGAUGAUGUCACACCUGGCCCCACCCCCCAACAGGGCAUUGACCACCUCG